UUUUUAAAAGUAAACUAUGAAUUGAAAUUUCCUUGUGCAAGAGUCGACAAGGUCUGACGUACAGAGUACAACAUGGACCAAGAAAAUAGCAACGAAACAAAAUUAAAGUAGCAGCUAGCGGCAUGCAUGCCACUGUACUACGUACUCUACUAUUAUUUCUUAUUUUAAAUCAAACCCUAUUAUUUCGUAUGUUUAAUCAAAAUCACACCACA